AACGAACGCUGGCGGCAUGCCUAACACAUGCAAGUCGAACGAGACCUUCGGGUCUAGUGGCGCACGGGUGCGUAACGCGUGGGAACCUGCCCUUAGGUUCGGAAUAACUCCCCGAAAGGGGUGCUAAUACCGGAUAAUGCCUUCGGACCAAAGAUUUAUCGCCUUUGGAUGGGCCCGCGUUGGAUUAGCUAGUUGGUAGGGUAAAAGCCUACCAAGGCGACGAUCCAUAGCUGGUCUGAGAGGAUGAUCAGCCACACUGGGACUGAGACACGGCCCAGACUCCUACGGGAGGCAGCAGUGGGGAAUAUUGCACAAUGGGCGAAAGCCUGAUCCAGCAAUGCCGCGUGAGUGAUGAAGGCCUUAGGGUUGUAAAACUCUUUUACCCGGGAUGAUAAUGACAGUACCGGGAGAAUAAGCUCCGGCUAACUCCGUG
rnacentral:rRNA from 1 species